AACAAGUGCUUAUAUUUUUCGUUUUCAAGAAAAAUAACCCGUGUUUAGGUUCUCUUGGAAGAAAAUCUCCAUAAUUACGGAUUCUUUUAACCCUAGAAAUAUAAUAGGUUUCCUAUAUAGUACUUGCCCAACUAAGUAUUGAGAGAGUUCGAAUGUGAACUUGGAUCAAUGUAGAAGACCACAAAACUGUUGUCCAACUUGUGAAUUCGCCUUGAAGGUCUUGUAGAUUCGCUUGAACUGCUCACGCUUCAAGAGGAUUUGGGUUGUUGAAUACAAUGUCUAAACCAAAAUACCCUAAGGAGAUUCACAAGAGGCUAUACAGCUGCGAUGGAAUUAGAGAAGAAGUUGAAUGAUGAACUAGUAAGGUCUAGUCCUUCUAAAAGGAAAGUAGUGUCAACGGCGAAAGCAAUCGGAAAAAAAUGUUACAAGAGGAGGAAAGUAAAAAAUUCUAUCCCAGACAUGAUUGGAGUACUGGUUGUUAAUGAAGAACAAGACGAAGUGAGUGAAGAAUCACAUAGUUCAUCAAUUUCUUCUUCUUCUUCUUCGUCUUCUUGGUGUGUGAAACCAAGAAUUGAUUUUGACUUGUCACAAAAUCCAGCAGUAUAGAUCUUGUAACACUCAU